CCUACGGGGGGCAGCAGUGGGGAAUAUUGGACAAUGGGGGGAACCCUGAUCCAGCCAUGCCGCGUGUGUGAAGAAGGCCCUCGGGUUGUAAAGCACUUUCAGUGAGGAAGAACGCCUGGUGGUUAAUACCCAUCAGGAAAGACAUCACUCACAGAAGAAGCACCGGCUAACUCCGUGCCAGCAGCCGCGGUAAUACGGAGGGUGCGAGCGUUAAUCGGAAUUACUGGGCGUAAAGCGCGCGUAGGUGGCUUGAUAAGCCGGUUGUGAAAGCCCCGGGCUCAACCUGGGAACGGCAUCCGGAACUGUCAAGCUAGAGUGCAGGAGAGGAAGGUAGAAUUCCCGGUGUAGCGGUGAAAUGCGUAGAGAUCGGGAGGAAUACCAGUGGCGAAGGCGGCCUUCUGGACUGACACUGACACUGAGGUGCGAAAGCGUGGGUAGCAAAUAGGAUUAGAUACCCUAGUAGUC
rnacentral:rRNA from 1 species